AUAUUACUAAAAUCUAGUUCUAAUUAUUUCCCCUCUAUUUGUCACCCAUGACAAAAUGAGGUCCAAACAAAUGUGAUGCUUCUGCUCCAGUUGUUAAAGUCAAAUCAAACUCUUAACGUGAUGGAAUCAAAUAUAAACCAAAGCCGUUUGCCACCAUCAGGGCAUUAACAUUUUAUCUUGUUUGUUGCAGGAAACCCCAGUUACCCUCUCCAGUGCCACAUUCAUAACAUAUAUAAAUGUAGACCCUGUUAACAGUGAGUGGACUUUUCUCGGGGGGGAAACGUAAACAGUCCACAGUAUAUCCAGCAGCAAGUGUCCCUUUUAGAGUGAGGUGAAAUGGUUUAAAAAAGUAAACAGCAGGGAUUUACUGUGAUACAUUUUCUUCCUCUUCUCCUCUGCUCCCUUAACAGAGACAACUCUUCCUGUUCCCAAAUGUCUACUUGGAGUUUUUGUUGUUUAUAUGAAUUUAACAAGUACCGAUGCACUAUGAUUUUUAAACGAUCAUAAAUAAAGAAAAGCUUAUUCUUUUUAAGAGUUAUGUUCGACAGAGAACACAUCCAUAUUGAAUUACAUAAAAAAUACAAAAAGAAUCAAUUUAUGAUUCUGCGUUGAAAAAUAGUCUGAGUUGUUGGAGUAGACAGUUGUAGUCAGAGCAUUAGCAACAACAACGACCAGUUCUCAUGUGUCUCUGCAGCUUUUUAUUGGAGCAGCUCCUUAUAACAUUUUCAUUUCACAUACAUUACACACUCCCAUCAGUUAUUUAACCGAAGCCAAAACUGUAGUACUUUACUGCAGCACGGCGUCUCAGUAGCACCGUGUAGCAGCUGUCUUUUUUCUCUUUUCUCCAGUUUAUCUAACACUUCCUUCCAUGACAACUGUUUACAGCUUGGUUUCUCUGCAUGUGUGAUUGCAUGUGAUUGGUUGCAGGUGUGCACGGUUCCAUUGACACUCUGACCAGUAGACUGACCAGCAAACUUUUCUACCUGGGAUUACCAUUACACCUAAUGAGGACUACUUCUGUGACCCAGGCCCGGCUGUUCCUGUUUGGAUUCCUGAAGAAAUGGGUAACAUGCUCCAUGGAAGAUUUUUGUUUGGAGUGUUUUGGCCGGAGUGGAGGUGGUGCCACAAUAUUUCCUCUUCCUUCUUCUUGGAAAAUGAGGAGCUGAAAAACAGCCUGAAGAUGUGUCUAAACACCACGAGGCUCAACAUUAUUUCAUGAGGAAGAAGAAGGAAGACAAGGUCAGGAGAAAGACACAGAUAAUAACCAUCUUCCAGCACUUUAUCCACACCAUAAAAAUAGACAACGACAUU